UGCAAGUCGAACGGAAGUCGUUGUAAUGAAAUAGAAACGGACAGAGAACUUGUUCGAAGAAAGUGGAAGUAGACUUACAACAAUGGCUUUAGUGGCGGACUGGUGAGUAACGCGUAAGGAACCUGCCUUCUAGAGGGGAAUAACAAUGAGAAAUCAUUGCUAAUACCGCAUAUGCCGAGAGAAUCACAUGGUACAAUCGGGAAAAGAGUAAUCUGCUAGAAGAUGGCCUUGCGUCUGAUUAGAUAGUUGGUGGGGUAACGGCCUACCAAGUCGACGAUCAGUAGCCGGACUGAGAGGUUGAACGGCCACAUUGGGACUGAGAUACGGCCCAGACUCCUACGGGAGGCAGCAGUCGGGAAUAUUGCGCAAUGGAGGAAACUCUGACGCAGUGACGCCGCGUAUAGGAAGAAGGUUUUCGGAUUGUAAACUAUUGUCGUUAGGGAAGAGAAAGGACAGUACCUAAGGAGGAAGCUCCGGCUAACUACGUGCCAGCAGCCGCGGUAAUACGUAGGGAGCGAGCGUUAUCCGGAAUUAUUGGGUGUAAAGGGUGCGUAGACGGGAAGAUAAGUUAGUUGUGAAAUCCCUCGGCUUAACUGAGGAACUGCAACUAAAACUGUUUUUCUUGAGUGCAGGAGAGGUAAGUGGAAUUCCUAGUGUAGCGGUGAAAUGCGUAGAUAUUAGGAGGAACACCAGUGGCGAAGGCGACUUACUGGACUGUAACUGAC
rnacentral:rRNA from 1 species